rnacentral:misc_RNA from 1 species
GAUGAAGAACGUUAGUGAAAUGCGAUAAGUAAUGUGAAUUGCAGAAUUCAGUGAAUCAUCGAAUCUUUGAACGCACAUUGCGCCCGCCAGUAUUCUGGCGGGCAUGCCUGUCCGAGCGUCAUUUCAACCCUCGAACCCCUCCGGGGGGUCGGCGUUGGGGAUCGGCCCUGCCUCUUGGCGGUGGCCGUCUCCGAAAUACAGUGGCGGUCUCGCCGCAGCCUCUCCUGCGCAGUAGUUUGCACACUCGCAUCGGGAGCGCGGCGCGUCCACAGCCGUUAAACACCCAACUUCUGAAAUGUUGACCUCGGAUCAGGUAGGAAUACCCGCUGAACUUAAGCAUAUCAAUAAGCGGAGGA